CGUGCGGGGCCCGGUAGUUGGAGACCGGGACACUGCUCGUUUCACGUCGCUUUCUUCCCGUCCACAUUGCGGUGAAACCCUAGAUCGAGAGAAGCGUCCAAUCACCUCCCGUCCUAGAGCCCCACGUCCCACUCGUCUCCUCUCCCCCGCGGUCGCGGUGAAAACUAGAUCGAGCCGUCGUCGCCCAUCUUGCCGGCGGCGACGUGGUUUCCGGUACUUGUGGAUGGCGGAAUUUGGAGGCGGCGUCGUGGAGGUUGCAGGCCGGCCAUCUUCCGCGUCGCUCUCGUCUCCUCUGCUCCAUCCCCACGUGAGGCCAGAGAUGGCAGUCCCAGGAAGAGGAGACCACUGGCGCGCCGCCUCUCCUCCUGGAUGGAGCGGAACAGGGGCAUCCGCGGUCGUGCGUCGGAGGAGGUGCAGCAGGAGCGCGCACGGAGGUGAGCGGCGGCGAUGCCUCGUCCUCUCCUCUUCCUCCGCCCUCGACGUCGUCUUCCGGCGCAGCGACGGAGAGAGCACACGAGCGGCGGCGGCGGCUGGAUGCUCGUCUCUCUCCCAAGCACCUACGACCUCGCAGCGAGCGGACCGAGCCGGUCGGGACAACCAGCAGCGACGGCACAUCGCGAGCCCCACGACGGCGCCCUGCAGGCUGAUGUGGGUACCAUGGACGCCUUCACCGUUGUGCUGCUCGGGAGAAGCCUCUGCAACCCCGUCGACGGUAGCGGCCGCCGAAAUUGAAGGGGGCGGCGGCGGCCAGAAAUGAACGUGGUGGCGGUGAGCAGAGUGGGAACGGGGCGGCGGCGCCUCCUCUCGGUGGCCCUGGGCGCUCAGGAGGAGCCCUCGAUCUGAGCUAGGAGAGACAAGAGCGGAUAAGGUGAAGUUGUAGGAGUAGCUCGGAUGGGGCGGGACUCAGCGUCGAAGCUUUCCUGGCUUCUUGCCGUUGUUGAACAUCUAGCGAUCCAUUUGUGCGUCGUCGCGUCCCUGAGCUGCUCACGGUGAAAUUUCUAGCGAUCCGUGUGUGCGCCGUUGGCCGCGUCCCUGAGCUGCUCAGCGUGAAAUAUCCAUGGGAGAAUUCCCUGUGAAGGAGUUCAACAAGAAAUCAAAUUCGAUGUACACUAUUCUAAGGAGUAGUCGACUUAUGGGAAGUCAGAGAGCACCUUCCCUAAGGCGGUUCUGAUGAGACUAAACUUCAACUGUUUCUUUGAGGUAAAGUGCCCUCUCCGUAGCGCUUUCGGGUGUGAUUGUUGCUGCUCUCGGUUGAUUACCAUAGCUGCUUCUUUCUGCCAACUUUCAAGCACCUCUAUGCCCCCUCCAUGUCAGGCAUGGCAAGGCAGCAAGGUACGAUGGUGGCCAGAUUGGGUUUGAGACAGAGGCAAGGCUGAAUGGAGGUUUGAGGCCCUCCGGUUUGGCGGCAACAUGUGCCUAUCAUGGAGGAAGUGGUUGCAAUAUCUGUUUGAAAGAUGCAGCAGCUGGUAAGCUUCCAUAUUUCUAUGUUUCAUCCCUCUCUAAUUCUGACCACUCGAGUUCCUGUUGUUCAAUGAAUUGUCAAUAAAAACCUGUUUGCUUGACCAUGUAUGAAUCUUAAGGAUUUCUAUUUUUUUUUACCACUCUAUUUUGAAUUGCACAAUAUAUAGCAUGACACAGAUCAACUUUUGGGUUAUAAGUACUAUGUAUUGCGCCAAGUAUUUUUGGAGGCAACAGAUCAGGCAUGCAGGCUUCCUUUUCUCGUGGUGGGUUGUUGAUGAACGUCUGGGGCUGGUGUCUCUAAUUCUUCUAAGUCCAGAAUGACAUAAGGUGGAUGCAUAAUUAAUCCUGAAUCAGGCAAAAGGGAAUCAGAGUAUUCUUCUCCCCGGCAUGGAAACCAAGAUCACGCAAUACCCUUUUUCGGGGGAUUUUACUAUUUGCCACAUGGCCACGUACUAAAGGUGGCGUUUAUUCAGAUUCAGUCAAGUCAACCUAUGACCUGACAGGCUGGCACGAGCCUCCCCUUCGUGUUCAAAAGUACUUCAGGUUCCAAACUUUUGUGUGCGAGGAGAAACACUGGCAGAUGCUAUCGGCUGUCAAACCUACAAGAUGAAACCUUUGCCGUUUGGCACAUGAUUGCCUGAAUAUUGGGCACUGGCUCACUUCAGAUGUGACGAAAGGUCUGAGCACUACUUUCUCAUGUGUCCCUAUGACUUGGCUGCUUGGGAUGUGAUUAAAGAUUAGUAAGGUCUUCAUUGUACAUUUUAGCUCUUUUUUGAA